rnacentral:rRNA from 3 species
UUAAGGUUGACCUCGGAUCAGGUAGGAAUACCCGCUGAACUUAAGCAUAUCAA